CCCUUUGAUACUCUGGGCGGCACGCGCGCUACACUGGUUUAUAUAACGUGUAAUUUGGACGAUAGUCUGUAUAAAUCACUAAUAUAAAACCGUGAAUGGGAUAGUUUAUUACAACUUACAAACUUUAACUAGGAAUCCCUUGUAGAAGUAGUGAAUUAUACUGCUUCGAAUACGUCCCUGCCGAUUGUACACACCGCCCGUCGUUUCUUCCGACUGGUACUCAUUGUGAAUUGCGAGGAGAUUCUGUCAAAUCGUUGUAAAUGCUGGGUAUUGGAGGAAGAAAAAGUCGUAACA
rnacentral:rRNA from 1 species